AUUGAACGCUGGCGGCAGGCUUAACACAUGCAAGUCGAACGAUGAUUAUCUAGCUUGCUAGAUAUGAUUAGUGGCGGACGGGUGAGUAACAUUUAGGAAUCUGCCUAGUAGUGGGGGAUAGCUCGGGAAACUCGAAUUAAUACCGCAUACGACCUACGGGUGAAAGGGGGCGCAAGCUCUUGCUAUUAGAUGAGCCUAAAUCAGAUUAGCUAGUUGGUGGGGUAAAGGCCCACCAAGGCGACGAUCUGUAACUGGUCUGAGAGGAUGAUCAGUCACACCGGAACUGAGACACGGUCCGGACUCCUACGGGAGGCAGCAGUGGGGAAUAUUGGACAAUGGGGGCAACCCUGAUCCAGCCAUGCCGCGUGUGUGAAGAAGGCCUUUUGGUUGUAAAGCACUUUAAGCAGGGAGGAGAGGCUAAUGGUUAAUACCCAUUAGAUUAGACGUUACCUGCAGAAUAAGCACCGGCUAACUCUGUGCCAGCAGCCGCGGUAAUACAGAGGGUGCGAGCGUUAAUCGGAAUUACUGGGCGUAAAGCGAGUGUAGGUGGCUCAUUAAGUCACAUGUGAAAUCCCCGGGCUUAACCUGGGAACUGCAUGUGAUACUGGUGGUGCUAGAAUAUGUGAGAGGGAAGUAGAAUUCCAGGUGUAGCGGUGAAAUGCGUAGAGAUCUGGAGGAAUACCGAUGGCGAAGGCAGCUUCCUGGCAUAAUAUUGACACUGAGAUUCGAAAGCGUGGGUAGCAAACAGGAUUAGAUACCCUGGUAGUCCACGCCGUAAACGAUGUCUACUAGCCGUUGGGGUCCUUGAGACUUUAGUGGCGCAGUUAACGCGAUAAGUAGACCGCCUGGGGAGUACGGCCGCAAGGUUAAAACUCAAAUGAAUUGACGGGGGCCCGCACAAGCGGUGGAGCAUGUGGUUUAAUUCGAUGCAACGCGAAGAACCUUACCUGGUCUUGACAUAGUGAGAAUCCUGCAGAGAUGCGGGAGUGCCUUCGGGAAUUCACAUACAGGUGCUGCAUGGCUGUCGUCAGCUCGUGUCGUGAGAUGUUGGGUUAAGUCCCGCAACGAGCGCAACCCUUUUCCUUAUUUGCCAGCGGGUUAAGCCGGGAACUUUAAGGAUACUGCCAGUGACAAACUGGAGGAAGGCGGGGACGACGUCAAGUCAUCAUGGCCCUUACGACCAGGGCUACACACGUGCUACAAUGGUAGGUACAGAGGGUUGCUACACAGCGAUGUGAUGCUAAUCUCAAAAAGCCUAUCGUAGUCCGGAUUGGAGUCUGCAACUCGACUCCAUGAAGUCGGAAUCGCUAGUAAUCGCAGAUCAGAAUGCUGCGGUGAAUACGUUCCCGGGCCU
rnacentral:rRNA from 1 species